rnacentral:rRNA from 1 species
UAGAGGAAGUAAAAGUCGUAACAAGGUCUCCGUUGGUGAACCAGCGGAGGGAUCAUUACUGAGUUUACGCUCUACAACCCUUUGUGAACAUACCUAUAACUGUUGCUUCGGCGGGCAGGGUCUCCGUGACCCUCCCGGCCUCCCGCCCCCGGGCGGGUCGGCGCCCGCCGGAGGAUAACCAAACUCUGAUUUAACGACGUUUCUUCUGAGUGGUACAAGCAAAUAAUCAAAACUUUUAACAACGGAUCUCUUGGUUCUGGCAUCGAUGAAGAACGCAGCGAAAUGCGAUAAGUAAUGUGAAUUGCAGAAUUCAGUGAAUCAUCGAAUCUUUGAACGCACAUUGCGCCCGCCAGCAUUCUGGCGGGCAUGCCUGUUCGAGCGUCAUUUCAACCCUCAAGCUCUGCUUGGUGUUGGGGCCCUACAGCCGAUGUAGGCCCUCAAAGGUAGUGGCGGACCCUCCCGGAGCCUCCUUUGCGUAGUAACUUUACGUCUCGCACUGGGAUCCGGAGGGACUCUUGCCGUAAAACCCCCAAUUCUCCAAAGGUUGACCUCGGAUCAGGUAGGAAUACCCGCUGAACUUAAGCAUAUCAAUA